rnacentral:rRNA from 1 species
CGAAAGCCUGACGGAGCAAGACCGCGUGAGGGAGGAAGGCUCUUGGGUUGUAAACCUCUUUUGUCAGGGAAGAACACAAUGACGGUACCUGAAGAAUCAGCAUCGGCUAACUCCGUGCCAGCAGCCGCGGUAAUACGGGGGAUGCAAGCGUUAUCCGGAAUUAUUGGGCGUAAAGCGUCCGCAGGUGGCUAAUCAAGUCUGCUGUCAAAGGUUGGGGCUUAACCCCAAAAAGGCAGUGGGAACUGGGAAGCUAGAGUGCAGUAGGGGUAGAGGGAAUUCCCGGCGUAGCGGUGAAAUGCGUAGAGAUCGGGAAGAACAUCGGUGGCGAAAGCGCUCUACUGGACUGCAACUGACACUCAGGGACGAAAGCUAGGGGAGCGAAUGGGAUUAGAUACCCCAGUAGUCCUACCGUAAACGAUGGAUACUAGGUGUGGCUUGUAUCGACCCGAGCCGUGCCGUAGCUAACGCGUUAAGUAUCCCGCCUGGGGAGUACGCACGCAAGUGUGAAACUCAAAGGAAUUGACGGGGGCCCGCACAAGCGGUGGAGUAUGUGGUUUAAUUCGAUGCGACGCGAAGAACCUUACCAGGGCUUGACAUGUCGCGAAUCCUCUUGAAAGAGAGGAGUGCCUUCGGGAGCGCGAACACAGGUGGUGCAUGGCUGUCGUCAGCUCGUGUCGUGAGAUGUUGGGUUAAGUCCCGCAACGAGCGCAACCCUCGUCUUUAGUUGCCAGCACUAAGUUGGGCACUCUAGAGAGACUGCCGGUGACAAACCGGAGGAAGGUGGGGAUGACGUCAAGUCAGCAUGCCCCUUACGCCCUGGGCUACACACGUACUACAAUGCGACGGACAAAGGGCAGCAAGCCAGCGAUGGCAAGCAAAUCCCAUAAACCGUGGCUCAGUUCAGAUCGUAGGCUGCAACUCGCCUACGUGAAGGAGGAAUCGCUAGUAAUUGCAGGUCAGCAUACUGCAGUGAAUUCGUUCCCGGGCCU